CUUCAACUUCAUUAUCCUUAAUCCAGAAGAGCGAGAGUAGAAAGGAAUCACUAAUUGUCAUGAAAAGUUGCCUGGGAUGGAAGUUUUCUCCUCAAUGAGAAAAAUAUACUUGAAUGACUACUGGUCAAAUGGGAAUUGAUUUGUCAUCGAAUGUACAGGACCCAGAAGGGAGCAUAAGGUCCCCCUGAAUUGGAGUUAUGGAUGGAAGGUUGUGAACUACCAGGUGUUUCUCAGAGGAAAGGAUCCAGAUAAAGCUGUCUCUUGUGAGACUAUGCCGGGGCCUAGCAAACAGAAGUGGAUGCUCACAG
rnacentral:lncRNA from 1 species